AUGAUAGAAGAGUUGGAAGCACUGAGGAAAAACAAGACGUGGGUGCUACCGGCAGGAAAGAAAGCAGUGAGUUGUAAGUGGAUCUAUACAGUGAAGCAGAAUCCUGAGGGGAAGGUGGAACGGUAUAAGGCCAGAUUUGUCGCCAGAGGAUAUAGUCAAACUUAUGGAAUGGACUAUGACGAGACGUUUGCUCCAGUGGCAAAGAUGAACACAGUAAGGAUAUUGGUUUCCUGUGCUGCAAACUUUGGGUGGAAGUUGCAUCAAUUAGAUGUCAAGAAUGCCUUCUUGCAUGGUGAGUUGAGGGAAGAAGUGUACAUGGAGAUACCACCAGGUUUUGGUACUUCACAGACCACGGGGAAGGUAUGCAGGCUGAAGAAAUCCUUGUAUGGACUGAAGCAAUCGCCGAGGGCUUGGUUCGAUAGGUUCAGAUGUGCUGUUCGUGCUAUGGGGUAUGGUCAAUGUAAUGGUGACCACACGGUGUUCUACAAACACUCACUCUCUGAUCGGAAGAUCACCAUCCUUGCAGUUUAUGUGGAUGACAUUAUCAUCACUGGAGAUGAUAAGGAGGAAAUAGAGAGAUUGAAGGGGUUCUAA
rnacentral:rRNA from 1 species